UAUUUCGGUAGAUAGAAAUAAUGGGAGCAGUUUGUUUGAACCUGUAGACUCAAAAGAAUUAAGCAAUCAGGAGACUGCAACAAUUUCAAAUACUUUGGUUGAAGUUAUGGAAUCGGGAGAAUCACGCCAUAUAAAGAGUACAACAAUGAUGAACAGACGCAAGAAGUCAAAUAGAAACGGAACUUCAAAUAUGAAGGAAGUUAAGGACCAAAAAGUAGUGAAUCCGAAGGAGGGUAUGAAAUCAGGAAAUGAUACUGACUUUUGGUGGUUCAGUCUUCCUUAUGUUCUUGCUAUACGCAUGCG
rnacentral:misc_RNA from 1 species